UACGUAGGGUGCGAGCGUUGUCCGGAAUUAUUGGGCGUAAAGGGCUCGUAGGCGGUCUGUCACGUCGGGAGUGAAAACUCGGGGCUUAACCCCGAGCCUGCUUCCGAUACGGGCAGACUAGAGGUAUGCAGGGGAGAACGGAAUUCCUGGUGUAGCGGUGAAAUGCGCAGAUAUCAGGAGGAACACCAAUGGCGAAGGCAGCUCUCUGGGACGGUACUGACGCUGAGACGCGAAAGCGUGGGGAGCGAACAGG
rnacentral:rRNA from 1 species